rnacentral:rRNA from 1 species
GACGAACGCUGGCGGCGUGCCUAAUACAUGCAAGUUGAGCGCUGAAGGUUGGUACUUGUACCAACUGGAUGAGCAGCGAACGGGUGAGUAACGCGUGGGGAAUCUGCCUUUGAGCGGGGGACAACAUUUGGAAACGAAUGCUAAUACCGCAUAAAAACUUUAAACACAAGUUUUAAGUUUGAAAGAUGCAAUUGCAUCACUCAAAGAUGAUCCCGCGCUGUAUUAGCUAGUUGGUGAGGUAAAGGCUCACCAAGGCGAUGAUACAUAGCCGACCUGAGAGGGUGAUCGGCCACAUUGGGACUGAGACACGGCCCAAACUCCUACGGGAGGCAGCAGUAGGGAAUCUUCGGCAAUGGACGAAAGUCUGACCGAGCAACGCCGCGUGAGUGAAGAAGGCUUUCGGAUCGUAAAACUCUGUUGGUAGAGAAGAACGUUGGUGAGAGUGGAAAGCUCAUCAAGUGACGGUAACUACCCAGAAAGGGACGGCUAACUACGUG